rnacentral:tRNA from 1 species
CAGAAAAUAGUUUAAUUAAAAUAUUAGUUUUGGAGACUAAUGAUGGGAGGUAUCUUUUUUCUGA